UCUAUUUGGGUGGAUAAACCAGAUAAUUUGGUCAAUUCAUGAUUUUUUGUUCCUCCAUUUAUAACUCUCAGAAACAAUCUUCUCUUCUUUUUAAACUUCUACAUAGCUGGGAACUAAGUUUAUUAAAGAUAAAAAUAUCCAACAAAAUUGGCCAAAACCUCUUUGGUGAAUUGCAGGCAUGGAAAAUGAAGGGAUGAGUAAGUCUUAGGAGUUUGUACCAGGCAAGGAUAGUAAUUCUUUAUUGUAGAAUCAUGUUGAAGUAAUUCUUUGUUAAACAUUAUUGUAGAAUCUGCAUUAUCUGUUACUUUAUUUUAUAUUUGAUACUGAUUGAGGGCUCAGUUAAACUAGGAAAGAGUCAACUUAAAUGGCCGCAGUUAACCACUGUCAUUGUCAUCGCCCGGCUAUGUUGAUAACUUCUUGGACUGAUUUGAAUCCUGGUCGUCGAUUCUAUGGAUGUCAAACUGCAAAAGUAAGUAAUUUAUAUUCAAUUUCCUUUAAUAUGGAGUUUGUUCUCAAAUAAAUUCUUUUUUGACAGCCUCAUGGUUGCGGGUAUUUCAUGUGGUAUGAUCCUCCGAUGCAGCCGAGAGCUAUUCAAGUGAUUCCUGGUUUGUUGAGGAAGUUGAGGGCUCUUGAAGAUGAAGCUCAAAAUGUUAGACGCAAACAUAGGAUUUACAAGAUAAUCAUAUGGGUUUCCUUG
rnacentral:lncRNA from 1 species